AGAAUUUCAGAAUUUUUUUUUAAUAAAUACAUAGCCAUAUUCUUCACUUCCUACACCAAAACUAUAUACAAAUUCCUCUCCUCAUAUCUCAUCUGAAUAGUGGUUGCCUUUUGAGUUGCCAUGGCUAUGGGUGAAAAACCAACAAAAAAAAUUGCAACGGCAAGCACUAUUCACAUGAAUAGUAAUAGCUCUCGCCUCCCCUUGCAUUUUGCCAUGACAAAUAGGUAGAAAUGCUCUUAAAGGACCCAAAAAUGAUCUGAGGACACUCAUGCUCAAAUUUUAAAAUUUUGAAAGUCAUAUUUACAAACAUACCCACCAACCAUGGUAUGAGUGUCAAAUAUAUUGCUCUUAAAAUAAAAUCCUACAAGUUUCCAUAAUCAUAUCCCUACAAAGUUAAAAGAAUCUAAAGGGAGAAGAUGAGCAAAGUUAACAACACAAGUUUAUUAUACAUUUGUUAUAUCAUAACACAUUAUAUCAUAUACAUUUUAUAUUUCAUCGCCAUCAAAAGAGAAACAAAAUGAAACAUAAUAAUUUAUAUUCCGUAACUUAAAAAGUAGUGAGGAGAUUAUUGCUAUAUCUGAAUCCCCAAAAGUUUUUUUCUUUCCCUUCUGGAAAGCAAGGUGAGCUAUAACUAGCUCAAACACAAGUAGUGUACUAAUAAUGGCCAACUCCCGGGCUUGGGACUGCCUCCUUCAGAAUCCGAUCGCGAUCAGCGUUAACAGAAUGAAGUUGAUGAAGAGUCAUGGCCAACUGCUUUUCAACAUUAAUUUUACUUGGCACUGCAUGGUGAUGUUCAUGCUCACCCAGAUCAGAAAGCUCAUCACCCUUUUCAUUGUUUUCAACUGUCAGUAGCCUUCUGGCUUCAAAAGAGGGGAUGCAGAAGGCUAGAGCAAAGAGGAGGACAAGAAAUAAUGUUACACAUAAACGAGCCAUAAUGCAUAACAAAAUUGUGACCAUAUCGUCAAGCUAUUAGCAUCUAUAUAUACACAAGUGCUGAGAGAUAGAGACGUGGGGUUAAGCAAAAUUGAUCACCAAGAUGUUUGAAAGUGAUCAAAAGAUGGAAUGUUUUGGGACAUAUCCAUUUACGAAAAAUAUGCAGAUAGUGGAUAUGUAUCUUUUUGAGUUAGGUGCACUUGAACUAUAGGUACAGUCACGCCGCGGCCUCCAUUAUUGGUAUUAUAUCGUUCUGUGAGUAUAUAUUCCACUCAAAUAUUAUCCAUGGCUCCAAGUCUUCAGCUGCCUAGAAAGUUAGAAAAGCUUGAAGAAAGCUAGCUACAGCAUUUCAUCAUGACUUUCCAUUCGUUGGUUCCUGCACUGCAACAAUGCCUGAGAUUAAAAC
rnacentral:lncRNA from 1 species